rnacentral:rRNA from 1 species
GACGAACGCUGGCGGCGUGCUUAACACAUGCCAGUCGAACGGUGAAGCGCCUUCCUUUUUGGUGGGUGUGGAUGAGUGGCGAACGGGUGAGUAACACGUGAGUAACCUGCCCCCUUCUUCUGGAUAACCGCAUGAAAGUGUGGCUAAUACGGGAUAUUCUGGGUCUGUCGCAUGAUGGGUCUGGGAAAGAUAUUGUUUCGGUGGGGGAUGGGCUCGCGGCCUAUCAGCUUGUUGGUGGGGUGAUGGCCUACCAAGGCGGUGGCGGGUAGCCGGCCUGAGAGGGUGGACGGUCACACUGGGACUGAGACACGGCCCAGACUCCUACGGGAGGCAGCAGUGGGGAAUAUUGCACAAUGGGCGCAAGCCUGAUGCAGCGACGCCGCGUGAGGGAUGGAGGCCUUCGGGUUGUGAACCUCUUUCGCCAGUGAAGCAGGCCUGCCUCGUUUGUGGGUGGGUUGACGGUAGCUGGAUAAGAAGCGCCGGCUAACUACGUG